ensembl:piRNA 21ur-4171 ncRNA
UGAGAAAUUUUGAAUAGAUUU